rnacentral:tRNA from 1 species
GGUUGUGGCUCAGUGGUAGAAUGCUUGCUUAGCAUGUGCAAGGCCCUGGGUUCAAUCCUCAGCACCA